CCUUUUUCAUUUUUUUAUAUUUUUAUAUUUGCUUUGAAGUAAAAAAUGAAAAAUAAAAAAAGGCUACCUUUUGUUCUUUUUGAACUUUUUCUUUUCUUUUUUUUAUUACUUUUUCGUAUUUCUAUAUUUUUCUCCCCCUAAAUACAAUUUGUUUUCUGGCUUUUAUAAUCGAUCUACAAGAUUAUUUUCUUUUUCUCUAUUGUUUUGGCUACUGUUUGUGUCUGUUGCGUGUUGCUUCUUCUUUGCAGGUGAUGGUUGAGUCAACGGUGGGAAAGGCAUUGAUGGUGGCAGACUUCGCGGCGCAAGGGGCACUAGGGUUUCUGUUUUUUCUUAAAACAGUUUAGGUUGUGGGCCACUAGGCUAUUAGGGUUUUUAUUUUUAUUUUUUGGGCCAUUUGGGUUUGUAAGUUUGGGCUUGAUUUGAUUUUUUUUUGUAAAUAGAUUUUGACUCUUAUUAUUUAUUUUUUUAUAUUUGGUUUGUUUUUUUGGUUGGGCUGGGGCAAAAUUGGGCUUCUACAGCUGCCCAUCUUUGCUUGUUGUCGUGUAGCGAGAAUAGAGUAAAGACUUUAAGAAGGACCAAUUUUGUCUGAUCUUGUCGAAUCUCAACUUUUUGGUAUUUCUCUUUUCCAAGUAGCCUCGUUUUAACCCACUGCAACUUUAGGGGUAUAAGAAUUGUCGCUUUAAUUUGCUCCACUCAAC
rnacentral:lncRNA from 1 species